CAGCCGCCACGGUAAUACAGAGGGUGCAAGCGUUAAUCGGAAUUACUGGGCGUAAAGCGCGCGUAGGUGGUUCGCCAAGUUGGAUGUGAAAUCCCCGGGCUCAACCUGGGAACUGCAUUCGAAACUGGCAGGCUCGAGUCUCGUAGAGGGGGGUAGAAUUCCAGGUGUAGCGGUGAAAUGCGUAGAGAUCUGGAGGAAUACCGGUGGCGAAGGCGGCCCCCUGGACGAAGACUGACGCUCAGGUGCGAAAGCGUGGGGAGCAAACAGGAUUAGAUACCCCGGUAGUCCCUGUCUCUUAUAC
rnacentral:rRNA from 1 species